GCGUUGGCAAUAGGCGAAAAAGCACAAAGCCUUGACAUUUCUAAAAUUUUGGAUCUCCCUCAACCAGCACCCUCUUCACCUGCACUCACCAAAGCUCAAGUGAUUACAAUCUCUAUCAUCUCUGUUUUAGUAUUUCUUAUGCUACCAAGUGGGAUCCUGUAUCACUACUUUAGAAAGAAGUACGCAGAGGUUUUUGAGCAGUGGGAACAACUGUUGUAAUUCUCACGAUCUCUCUAUAUUUUACUCUUUCUUUCUCAUUUGUGUUCACUUGUUCUAGAGAAAAAACAAGAACACAUUUACUUUAAUCUUCUACAUUGAUAAUUGCUUGGAUACUUUUCUUACAAGACACACACACAUACAUAUAGUGGUUUUUUCUCCACUUGCUACACUACACUCACUUAGACUCGAGACCAUACUUCUAGUCAUCAUUACCCUAAGACUAGAACCAAGCUUACAAGCAAAGAACUACUAAACCUUACACAACAACAACUCCACUCUACUCUAGCUAAAAUCAUAAGCAAACUCCAACAACUAUUAGUUGGACAAGCUAACAACAACACUAACACAUGUUUGGGCCUAACUAAACAAUUAGCCCAAUCCCUUUUAUUAUUACAAAACAACAAGUCCAACUUCUUCUACCUUGUUGACUUGUUCUCUUGUUGUCGUUGACCUCUUUCACGACAACUUCUCUUCUUCGCUAGCUUCUUCUCUUUGCUCUGUUCUUCUUCUUCUUCUCACUAAAGCUUUCUCCUUUGUUGCAGAUUUAAUCAAGAACUCAAUCUCAACAACAACAAUAUAGCCCCCAAAGAUUCUCGUUUAGGACCCUUUACAAAGCGACCAAUGGUUUCAAGGGGGAUCGGGUUAUUGGAGCAGGAGGAUUUGGCAAGGUUUAUAAAGGAGAUUUAUCUGAUGGUACUCAAGUUGCAGUGAAGAAA
rnacentral:lncRNA from 1 species